UACGAAGGGGGCUAGCGUUGUUCGGAAUUACUGGGCGUAAAGGGCGCGUAGGCGGCGUGUCAAGUCAGGCGUGAAAGCCCCGGGCUCAACCUGGGAACCGCGCUUGAGACUGGCAUGCUCGAGUUCGGGAGAGGAUGGUGGAAUUCCCAGUGUAGAGGUGAAAUUCGCAGAUAUUAGGAAGAACACCGGUGGCGAAGGCGGCAUCCUGGACCAACACUGACGCUGAGGAGCGAAAGCCAGGGGAGCAAACGGG
rnacentral:rRNA from 1 species